rnacentral:rRNA from 1 species
UACAGAGGGGGCAAGCGUUGUUCGGAAUUACUGGGCGUAAAGGGCGCGUAGGUGGCCUGCUAAGUCGAACGUGAAAUCCCUGGGCUCAACCCAGGAACUGCGUCGGAUACUGGUUGGCUUGAAUCCGGGAGAGGGAUGUGGAAUUCCAGGUGUAGCGGUGAAAUGCGUAGAUAUCUGGAGGAACACCGGUGGCGAAGGCGGCGUCCUGGACCGUUACUGACGCUGAGGCGCGAAAGCGUGGGGAGCAAACAGG